rnacentral:rRNA from 1 species
GACAGAGGGUGCUAGCGUUGUUCGGAAUUACUGGGCGUAAAGGGCGCGUAGGCGGUCUGCUAAGUUCGGUGUGAAAGCCCCUGGCUCAACUGGGGAACUGCGCUGGAAACUGGCAGACUCGAGUACCGGAGAGGAGAGUGGAAUUCCUGGUGUAGCGGUGAAAUGCGUAGAUAUCAGGAGGAACACCGGUGGCGAAGGCGGCUCUCUGGACGGAUACUGACGCUGAGGCGCGAAAGCGUGGGGAUCAAACAGG